GCUAAUAUUGGUAGCAUUUGGCUAAUAUUGAUAAUACUUUAUGAAUUGGCUGGAUCAACAUGUGGUAUGUUUGUAAGCUGAAUAUAAACAUGCAACAUGUUGAUAUACUAAAGAGUUUGACUUAAAUAUCACAAAUGCAGAAGUAUAAACGAGUAGCUGACAAGGCUAACACAUAGAAGCCUGCUAACACCUGACUGACUGGACUAUAGUCUACGAAGCCUCUAAAGAAUACUGAAAUGCUAAUUGUUUACCGGGACAAGGUCCCCGACGUACCUUACUAACUGAAAUACUAUAACGACUGAAAAGAAAGGAAUAGCUGAUACGAGAUGUCUUAGCAAGCAGAAUCGUCAAUUUGUAAAUCGUUACCUGCAUCGCGAGAUUCAGGCCUCGGAUAAAAAAGGACGUCAGUACAUUUGAAUUGCACUUGUAUGUAAAACAACUGAAAGAAAGAACUGUAAAUACUAAAACUGAAACUGGCUGAUAACUGAUAAUUGAACUUAGCAAGGAAGUGAAGAUAUGAAUACUCCCUGUUCUGAAUAAGAAAUCACCUAUUUAUUUGAUUAAAUAAUCUGCAACCUCAGGGCCAAUAUACUAUAUAUAUAUAUAUAUAUGUGUGUGUGUGUGUGUGUGUGUGUGUGUGUGUGUGUGUGUGUGUAUAUAUAUAUAUAUAUAUACAUACAUACAUACACACACAUAUACUGCGGCCUCAGACCCAAGUAUACGUAUACAUAACUGCGGCCUCAGGCCCAAAAAUAGGUGUUUAACAUUCAGGGAUUUAAAAUCAGGAACUGAGAAUUAUACUGCAAUACAUGAUACUGAAACACUGAAUCAUAUUGAGUUACAUGAUACUGGAAUGCUGAAUAGAACUAAACUGGGACAUGUAUUCGUAAUAAAAUGAUUUGUCAUAACCGAGACUCAUGGGAUACUGGACGAAUUAUGAAGCCAUGCCAUCUAGAGAAUAGAAGUUCUACAACUAUUCAUGGAACUGGGGCAUAAUAACUUUGAGAGGCAAUUCAUAAUAACCAUAAGAAUGAGACGUAGGGAGAAUCAUAAACAUUCCCAAGCGUAGAGAGUUAGCCUCACAUACCUUGACGCUGGCCUUUUUAACCGUAUCGCAAUGUUCGUCGCCUCUUUCAACGAUAAUCUAUGGCAAUAUUUAUCAAGAGGAACCAUUAUUAACAUUAAGGCUCAUGUUUUGGUUACUUAGAAAUUUUAUCAAACACAUUAUGGGCGUAAAGCCUCAUAACCAUCAUUAAUGGUGUUUUCUUUACCCAAUUCUCAUUCUACUACUUCUAGGUGAUCUACAAUUCCAAAUAGAUAUAACUAACACCAUUUCUCAUCAUCCAAAUGUUUAUAACAAUCUUAAGUCAACAACCCAAAAUCCUAGCACAGUUCAUAUGAUUCCCUUUAUCAAUCCGGUCUACUAUUCUCCCAAAAACUCAUCAAUUCAUAGCUAUAAAUGAUUAGGGAGUAGAAGCAUUACCUUUUUGAAGUUCAAUCCUCUUAAAUUUGAUUUCUAGGGUUUCGUCUCUCAAAGUUGAUGUCUCAAUCGAAUAUCUAAUGAUUUGAAGGGUUUACCCAUAUUAAUAAGAUGUUAGAGAAUUAAAAUUAACUUUGAAUCAUCAUUAGAACUAACCUUGGAUAAUGGAGGGACCUUGGAAGAAGGUAGGUUCUUGAGAGAUUCCCUUUCUAGAGCAAGUUUUCGUGUUUUGGGGUGUGAGGGACGAGGUAGGGCUUUUAAAACAUCUUUCCAGGUGCACGCCCACGCAACUGAAGGCCCAACCGCGCACUUGAACAUGCAGCAAGGCCGCGCACAUGACAGCUGGGCGCGGAGGCUGCACAUUGUCCAAUAAAAUGCGCAUAACUCUUUUCACAGUGAUCCGUACAGGCUCCAUAAUAAAUAAUUAGAAAGUUAUUUCAAAGGGCUACAACUUUAUUGUUUUAUGUUUUCUCAAAUUUGUCACGACACAAUUUAGGAUCAUGAUCGGCGCUUAGGAGCAAGUGCUCCCAAGUAAGCCUCAUCGAUAAUUUACAGAAAAUCGGACAGAGUUUACCCUGUUUUAGGACUAUCCAAAAAUAAACCUGUCUCAGAAAUAAAUAACACAACCAACCUAUAUCGACCAAACAAAUUAUAAUCCUCAUUCGCGAAGUAUUUCCAACACAAUAAUACUAACUUCAUCUCCAAGUAUACGAUAGGAAAGUCUAGUACGAGUCACAAGUCUAAAUCAAUAAAAGAAUAUUUAUGACUUAUAAAAAUGACUAUGGAGAGACUCUAAAAGUUUUAAUAAAGAGACUAUAACAAAUAUAUAACAAUCUUUGCCCACGCGAAUAAAUGCGGGGCUCACCAAAAAUUGUCAACUCGUGUACUCUAACUAACGGAAUCCUCGCCUGCGUCUACUGGUGUCUCUAUAAAAAUAAUAGUGUGGAGUGAGUCGCUAGCUCAGUGAGUAAUAAUACUUAACCACAACUAUUUUUAAUUGGGGACAAGUCAGAAAACAUGCUAGUAUAUCAAACAGAAAAUAUAUUAAGAAUUCCCUUUCUAAAAUGGUAAAUAUAAUCAGUCUUUUCAUGUGUUUUCUGUAACAGAAAUCAAUUGAAACAAAUCAGUAAUAAACUCAAUAAACACUUUCUCAUAGCAAAUCUUUAUGUUUGGGAGGUUUCCAAGAAAGGAUCAUGUAAUCUGUAUCACUGUGUGGACCCCUUCAUCAAAGGAGUCAAAUAUAACUGUAGGUCCCAACUCAAAGAAAAACUAUUAUUAUAUGCUAGUUCUACAUUUUCACUAGCGAGGGAUAUAAUUGUACUCGGUAAUCGGUAAAUAUAAGGUGCACCAGGUCUAACGAACUCGUCGUUAGCUACGGGAUCCUUCAAAGUCUCCUCCCAUUUAUACUCUUUCUUGUAAACAGUAAAUACUCGUACGAAAGCAUUUUCAAAAUAAUAAAGGGCAUAUCAUUUCUUAUCAAAUCUUAUAAUUUUAUUUCGGUAACGGUAAUCAUAUCUCAAGUAACAGUAAAACAUGCAUGUCUAGUAACAGUGAGAAUAAUUUAAUUAACUGUAACAUCUCAAGUAACGGUAAAACAUAUCUAGUAACGGUGAAAAUAUUUAGAUUAACUGGUAAAUAUCUCAAGUAAAUUGUUCGGUACCAUAUCAAGUAAAGGACAUGUCCCACAUGCAAUUUCAAAGCACCAGUAACACAUUUAUUUUCAAAAUCAUAUAUAAACCAUGCAGGUUAUGAAAACACAAAUUGUGGUAAGAUUACUACUCACAAUACUCGUAUCGAAAUAUCAAACUCGUCACUUCGAACAAUCCGUGUGCCUUCCUUCAAUCAAUCUAUAAUCACAUCAUAUUGUUCUCGAAUUAACUUUCUUGUUUAGGCUAAAUUGUAACUAAUUUAGAAUACCCAACUCUCGGAGUUUCAUGUUUGAUUAUCAAUUUGUUAAGUUGGAUUUGUCGAGAUCAUGUGAAAAUAGUUUUAUACCUUAAUCGCAUUCCUUUAAGUCAUAUGUAUAUUUUGAGAGUAAGGCAAGUUACCGUAGAAAAUAUAUUGUUCCAAAUUAUUUUUUUUUGAAAAUUUUAAAACUUGCUUAAGUAAUUAAUUGCACGACAUCUCUAUUAAGAUAGCUUCUUCAAUGAAUUCUUCACUCAAAUAUACAUUAGUAACUCUAUCUCAUUGUGGUAUUUAAAUAAGCUAUUCACAAUCUAUGUAAAUUACUUAAAUUUCAGAAAAGAAGUUAUUAUAGAAUCUGUCCACAUAAUUAAAAUAAAGAGUUUAGAUAUUUACCGCAGUACUCGAAACUCGAAAUUGCUUAGGCUUCAAAGGUGCUAUUGAAACGAUCCUUUCUUGGCUUUCAAAAUUAUUUGUUUGGAGCUUUUCUAUGUUUCCUUCUCUAUAGAAAAGAAAUUCUUUCUCUGUUGGUUUUCUCCAAAUCUAAAGCUUCCAAGAUUGAAGUAUUUAUGUUGUUUUUGGUUCAUAUAAUAACUGUUUAGUGGCUUCUCUUUCGGCAGAAGCUUUAGAAUACGUAAACCCUUCCCUGAACCUCUCUUACUUUUCUCGUUCUAGUGGGCUUUCGCCCUUUCUUUUAAUUGAUUAGAUUUCUCUUCUUUUUUAAAAAAAUUUAAGUCAUGCUUAAAGACCAAUAUACCCUAGCUUGAAUAUGAGAUAUUACAUUCUCCCCACCUUAUAAAAUUCGGUCCCCAAAUUUAGCUCAGUUACAUACCUGUAGACUGAAUAAUAUAAGGAUACUUGACUCGCAUAGCAUCUUCCACUUCCCAUGUAGCUUCUGUAGCUUCUUUUACUGUAUGAUUUCUCCAUAAGACUUUUACGAACAUAUUUCUUUUGGCUAUAACUUCCUAACUUGUCUAUCAACAAUAGCCAUUGGCUCCUCCUCGUAAGACAGCUUCUCAUCGAGCGGUAUAGUUGGUGCUUCAAGCACGUGAGAUGAGUCUCAUAUACAUUUUCUUAGCAUUGGGACAUGAAACACCGGAUCAAUAAAAGACAACUCAGGAGGGAGUACCAAACGAUAUCCCAUACCUCAUAUUCGUUCAAGUAUCUCGCACGGACCUAUAAGCCUCGGGCUCAACUUACCUUUUUUUUUCGAAUCGCAUCACGCCCUUCAUAGUAGAGACUCGUAGAAACACUUUGUCCCCCAAUUGUAAACACUAAGUCUCUUUUUCUCUUAUCCGCAUAAGAUUUUUGUCUUCUUUGAACUGUGAGCAAUCUCUGUCUGAUCAAUUGGGCCUUGUCAAUAGCUUCUCGUACUAAGUCGGGUCCCAAUAAGUUAGUCUCACCAGCAUCAAAGCCUCCGAUAGGAGAACGUCAUCUUCUACCAUAUAAUGCUUCGUACAGUGCCAUCUGAAUACUAGACUAGAAACUAUUGUUGUAAGCAAAUUCAGCUAAAGGUAGAUAAGUGUCCCAACUACCUCCAAACUCAAGAAUGCAAACUCUCAACAUAUCCUCCAAGAUCUGUAUAGAACAUUCGUACUUUGCGUAUGCGUGCGAUGAAAUCAAGUACUAAGAUCUACUCGAGUACCCAACGUUUCUUGAAAAGGUUUUUAAAUCGUGAAGUGAAUGUGAUCCUCUAUUAGAGAUGAUGAACCAUAGAGCUCUACUGAGUUAUAUAAUUUUCUGUUUAUGUAUAUCUGUGCAUAUUUUACCUCACUAUAAGAGGUUUUGACUAGCAAGAAAUGUGCCUACUUUGUAAGCCAAUUUACAACUUUCCCACAUAUAAUCAUAACUCUAAUGGUUUGAGCAAUUUAGUCAUAUAAUGUAUUGUAAUUCUAUUAUAUUUUCACUUCAGAAUCUUGAGUUGUUGUAUUGGGCCUGUGAGUCGUAAGUGCUUGCCUUAACAUGCUGACAUGUCAAAUAGUUAGAAACAAAGUUAACGGUUUUUUUUUCCUUCUAUCUUUUCCAACCAAACAUUUUUUUAUAGUCAUGGUGCAUCUUAUUGACCUGAGAUAUACAGUGUAUUUAGAGUUGUGAACUCCAUCACAGAUAGUCUAUCUAAACCCAUAUAUGUUUGCUACACAUAAUUAAUUAUCUAGUCGGAUAAUACCCUCACUAUUAACAGUCAUAUCCUUGCUUUUACCAGCUAGAAACUAAUCUUGAUAGUUAAACAAUCGCUCAUCCUCGUAUUGGCUAGUCUUUAUGCACUCUACAUCAGGCUUUACCAAUAACCAAUAAUGCCUUUGAAUUUUUUUUCACAUUGAAUCUAAUACGUGUACCCUCUAGUCUAUGCAUAUCUUUGUCCAGAAAUAUCUUUACAGAAGCUAUAUGUGCCAAAUCACCCAUAUUUGUUUUUCAUAAGCUAUAAUAUUUAUCUUUCCCGAAUAAUACAAAACAGUACAAUUAUAUCUUCAGUAGUUCCCUCCAUCAGCAUUGAUAAAUAUUUAUAUCUCUAUUGGUUUUAAAUGUACUUCAGGCUUUUGUGCUAGGUAUAAUUCUUAUAGGUUUCUUCGUAUAAAUAGUGUUUCUAAAUCUUAAAAGGAAAUACCACUAUGACCAUCUCCAAAUCAUGAGUGGCAUAAUACAACUUGAGCUUCUUCAAUUUCCUUGAAACAUAGGCUAACAUUGGUGUGAUUGUCAAAUAUGCUUUGGGCUUCUGGAAUCUCGUUGUACAUUCUUCCACCCACUGAAAUUUAGUGAUUUUCUAUGUUAACUUGGUGAGUGGUGGUGCUAUUCUAGAUAAAUCCUACACAAAUGCCUAUAGUAGGCUGUCAAGCCAAAAGCAAUUUCUGUAGGAGAAAUGGGUCUUGACCAUUUAUGAACUGCUUCUAUCUUAUUUGAAGGUACCAUCUUUUCAUUCUUAGAUACAAUGUGUCAUAUGAAUACCACUGAGUCUAGCUAAUUGAAGAACUUGGUAAAAAGUUGAUUUCUCUGCAGCGUCUUUAACAUAUUUUCAAGUAAUUCCCGUGCUCUUCCUGGGUACGAGAAUAUACCAGAAUAUAGUAAGUAAAAACUAUGACUUUUUUUUUUCCAAAAAUAACUUUGAGCACCAUAGUCAUUAUAUACAUCCAUGCAGUUGGAGCAUUGGCCAAUCUAAAAGACAUCACAAGUAACUCAUAUGUUUGUACCGAGUACUAGAGGCAAACAUUGAAAUAUCUUCCUUUCUUAUUCUAAGCUGAUGAUAACCAGACUAAGGAUCAAUGGCUCCUUGUAACUGAUCAAACAAGUUAUCUAUACAAGACAAGGGAUAUUUGUUGUGUAUUGUUAUCUUAUUUAAUUAUCUGUAGUUGGUGCACAUUCUUAAAGACUUAUCCCUUUUUUCUUCAAACAAUAUUAGUGUACCCCAUGGCGCAACACUCAAUACGAUAAAACCCGUAUCCAGCAAGUCUCGCAAUUGUUCAUUAACUCUCUCAAUUCGUUGGUGCCAUAUGAUACAGUUUACGUGUCAGGUGUCAAAUCAAUACCGAAGUCUAUUUCUCCUAUUCGAGGUAGUCCUGAAAAAUCUCUCACUAUGAUACUUUUAUUUUUCAACCUAAGUUUCACAUUUCUUGGAUCUCUUUACGAAAGUUACGAGACCCUAACCACUCUUAUUCACUAAUUGUAGAGCCUUCUUAAAUGAUAUAACCUCGACUAUCACUAGGAUAUGAUUCUUUCUUCUUCUUCUUCUUCUUCUUCUUCUUCUUCUUCUUCUUCUUCUUCUUUUUUUACAAAUAGGUUUGCUAGAUAUAUCAAUGUUACUACCUUCUCAUGGUAAUAAAAGGUAAUGUAAUAAUAUAAUAAUCAAUCACAUCUAUAAGCAUGUCAAAUUAACAAGGUCAAGUACAAUUUGGCUAGAUAGUGUAUCCUCUCUCUCAACUUGAAUCUAAUAAGCUUAAUAUAAAGUUUCAAAUGUACAAGAUUCUUCCAUAAAAGUAGCAACUAUUAAACGAUAUCAUAAUAUCUCAAGAUGUUAUUUAUCUAACUCUUCGUCCUAUAUAAGAAAAAUAAAUUUAUAUUGCGAGAUUUCCUAGUCUCUACCUUCUUAAAUGAAUUCUUAGUUGCAUGACAAUCACAUCCAGUUCUUAAAUAUUUUCUUUUCCUAACAAGUUCAACUUCCACAGAAUAAGUCAGAGUCUUCGUAUGUGAGAGUAUUGCUUUAUUUUUAAAUGGUUAACCAACCAUUAGACAAGCCUCUAGUCCUAAGGCAUCACAUACCUAGCCAGCUGAUAAAGUCUGGUGUCACAUGUCAGUACAUCCAUCGUUUGAAUUAAUUUCUUAAGUACCUGUCCGGUUUGAGCUUUCGACUAUCGAGAAGGAAAUGAUUCAUAAAAGGUUUACUAAACUUACUUCUAAGUCAAUUGUGUCACUCCUAACCGCGUCCCUAAUAAUAUGGUUCCAUUUCAUAUAUUCGUCAUAUACUCCAGGCGAUAAGUUGCUAGCUCCACAGGCUUCUCGCGGGAAUAUUUUAGAGCUCAUAAUGCUUUAAGUGUUUUUCCAAAACCUUUAAGGAUGCUUAAAGUGUCAGAAAAAGUAAACUUUGUGGUUUCAAUUUUUAGUAACUAUAUUAAGAAUACAUCUAUGCUCCAGACGAUCUUAGUACUGAAUGCCUAAAGCUUUUAUAUCCCUAAUCUAUUACAAGUUUUUUGUCCUGUCUACCAAUUAUAUUUAUCAAGCUCUUAAUUAUUCUCUACAUAGAGGUAAGAAUCUCAAUGAUACUAAUCUCCUAGCCAUAGUUGUGGUCUAGUGCUUAAUUCAAGAGUAGAUAUUAUUACAUAUUUUAGCGGUAUGAAAGCCCCUCAUUGUGGCACAACAAUCUUUUCAUUGGCCUUGCUUACUUUUCUAUUGCUUUCCUUUGGUGGGAGACAAUUAUUAUCCAGUGGAGGCAAUUUAAUGUCUUUAAACCUCUAGCCAAACUCUAUCAUUGAAUGACUGGUCCGUGCCAUACAGAAACAAGAUAAAAGGUGAUGUUUAGUUAUUUGACCCUAAUCGUCACACAUGUACGGGGGAACGAGAAACAAGACAAGACAAGACACAUCCUAUCACAUCCUCGCAGAUUCACGAUUAUGGGAAUGUUCGGCUACAUAACCAUAAUUGAGAUUCUACUAUCGAUGUGUGCUCCAUUAGUCAGAAGAAUAACCUAGGCUCUUAUACCAAUUUUGUCACGACCCAAUUUAGGAUCAUGGCCGGCGCUUAGGAGCAAGUGCUCCCAAGUAAGCCUCAUCGGUAAUUUAUAAAAAAUCGGACAGAGUUUUCCCUAUUUUAGGACUAUCCAAAAAUAAACCUGUCUCAGAAAUCAACAACACAACCAACCUAUAUCGACCAAACAAGUUAUAAUCCCCAUUCGCGAAGUAUUUCCAAUAUAAUAAUACUAACUUCAUCUCCAGUAUACGAUAGAAAAGUCUAAUACGAGUCACAAGUCUAUAUCAAUAAAAGAAUAUCUAUUACUCAUAAAAAUGACUAUGUAGAGACUCUAAGAGUUUUAAGAAAGAGACUAUAACAAAUAAAUAAUAAUCUUUGCCCACACGAAUAAAUGCGUGGCUCACCAGGAAUUGUCAACUCGUGUACUCCAACUAAUGGAAUCCUCGCCUGCAUCUACUGCUGUCUCUGUAAAAAUAAUAGCGGGGAGUGAGUCGCUAGCUCAGUGAAUAAUAAUACUUAACCACAACUGUUUUUAAUUGGGAACAAGUCAGAAAACAUACUAGUAUAUCAAACAGAAAAAAUCAUAAGAAUGCCCUUUCUAAAACGGUAAAUAUAAUCAGUCUUUUCAUGUGUUUCCUGUAACAGAAAUCAAUUUAACAAAUCGGUAAUAAACUCAAUAAACACUUUCUCAUAGCAAAUCUUUAUGUUUGGGAGGUUUUCAAGAAAGGAUCAUGUAAUCUGUAUCACUGUGUGGACCCCUUCGUCAAAGGAGUCAAAUAUAACUGUAGGUCCCUACUCGAGGGAAAACUAUUAUUGUAUGCUAGUUCUACCUUCUCACUAGCGAGGGCUAUAAUUGUACUCGAUAAUCGGUAAAUACAAGGUGCACCACAUCUAACGAACCUGUCGUUAGCUACGGGAUCCUUCAAAGUCUCCUUCCAUUUAUACUCUUUCUUGUAAACAGUAAAUACUCGUACGAAAGUAUUUUCAAAAUAAUAAAGCGCAUAACAGUAAAACAUGCAUGUCUAGUAAUAGUGAGAAUAAUUUAAAUAACUGUAACAUCUAAAGUAACGGUAAAACAUAUCUAGUAACGGUGAAAACAUUUAGAUUAACCGGUAAACAUCUCAAGUAAAUUGUUCGGUACCAUGUCAAGUAAAGAACUUGUCCCACGUGCAAUUUUAAAGCAUCAGUAACACAUUUAUUUUCAAAAUCAUAUAUAAACCAUGCAAGUUAUGAAAACACAAAUUGUGGUAAGAUUAUUACUCACAAUACUCGUGUCGAAAUAUUAAACUUGUCACUUCGAACAAUCCGUGCGCCUUCCUUCAAUCAAUCUAUAAUCACAUCAUAUUGUUCUCGAAUUAACUUUCUUGUUUAGGCUAAUUUGUAACUAAUUUAGAAUACCCAACUCUCGGAGUUUCAUGUUUGAUUAUCAAUUUGUCAAGUUGGAUUUGUCGAGAUCACGUAAAAAUAGUUUUAUAUCUUGAUCGCAUUCCUUUAAGUCAUAUGUAUACUUUGAGAGUAAGGCAAGUUACCGUAGAAAAUAUACUGUUCCAAAUUAUGAUUUUUUAAAAAUUUUAAAACUUGCUUAAGUAAUUAAUUACACCAUAACUCUAUCAAGAUAGUUUCUUCAAUGAAUUCUUCACUCAAAUAUACACCAGUAACUCUAUCUCUUUGUGGUAUUUAAAUAAGCUAUUCACAAUCUAUGUAAAUUGCUUAAAUUUCAGAAAAGAAGUUAUUAAAGAAUCUAUCCACAUAACUAAAAUAAAGAGUUUAGAUAUUUACCGCAAUACUCGAAACUUGAAAGUGCUUAGGCUUCAAAGGUGCUAUUGAAACGAUCCAUUCUUGGCUUUCAAAAUUAUUUGUGUGGAGCUUUUCUAUGUUUCCUUCUCUAUAGAAAAGAAAUUCUUUCUCUGUUGGUUUUCUCCAAAACUAAAGCUUCCAAGAUUGAAGUAUUUAUGUUGUUUUUUGUUCAUAUAGCAACUGUUUGGUGGCUUCUCUUUCGGCAGAAGUUUUAGAAUACGUAAACCCUUCUCUGAACCCCUUUUUCUUUUCUCGUUCUAGUGGGCUUU
rnacentral:lncRNA from 1 species